rnacentral:tRNA from 1 species
ACCCAAGUCCGGCUGAAGGGAUCGGUCUUGAAAACCGACAGGCGGGUUAAACCGCGCGGGGGUUCGAAUCCCUCUUCCUCCGCCA